UUUCACAAAUCAAAGGAGUGUCAUUGUGAUAUAUUUUAUCCAACUAAAGCGCAUCUUCCCUCAAAUUUUCAAGUGAUGGGAAGAAGGAAAAACAACCAUUGGCCUUUUUCACUUCCUCAGGAUGGAAAAUACAUUAGCUUUGAAUUUGCAGAAUUGGAACCGACACAUAAUGAUCAAGAGAAUAACUUACAGGCGGGGUAAAUCCAGGCAAAACUUGUGAGUGAGCCACAACAAAAUCUCCCUCUGUUACAGGACAAGAUGUCUCUUCACAAAGGUCAUGGGUUUCACUGUGAAUGUGAAAUCCAAAGUAUGAGACAUCGAU